CGCCACAAGCGGCUGAAGCUGCCAGCAUGAUCUGAUCUCUCUCUCUCUCUCUCUCUCUCUCUCUCUCUCUCUCUCUCUCUCUCUCUCUCUCCCCCCCCCCCCCCCCCCCCCCCUCUUAGGGUUAAUAUCAGAUCAUGUUGCAGUUUCAUCUGCUGAUGGA
rnacentral:pre_miRNA from 1 species